GACGAACGCUGGCGGCGUGCUUAACACAUGCAAGUCGAACGGAAAGGCCUGUCCUUCCUUGUGUUGGACGGGUACUCGAGUGGCGAACGGGUGAGUAACACGUGAGUGAUCUGCCCCCAACUUGGGUAUAAGCCUGGGAAACUGGGUCUAAUUCCCGAUAGGACUGCAGGGUGGUGCCUGUGGUGGAAGACGAUUUUCUAGUGGUUGGGGAUGAGCUCGCGGCCUAUCAGCUUGUUGGUGGGGUAAUGGCCUACCAAGGCGGCGACGGGUAGCCGGCCUGAGAGGGUGGACGGCCACAUUGGGACUGAGAUACGGCGCAGACUCCUACGGGAGGCAGCAGUGGGGAAUAUUGCAGAAUGGGCGGAAGCCUGAUGCAGCGACGCCGCGUGGGGGAUGACGGCCUUCGGGUUGUAAACUCCUUUCGACCGCGAGGAAGCCGCCUGGUUGGAAGGGUGGUGACGGUAGUGGUAGAAGAAGCACCGGCUAACUACGUG
rnacentral:rRNA from 1 species